AUGGAAGGCUGCUGUAUGGAGUCCUACGCGACGAGUUGCAGAAGCUGCUGAGGGAGAAGGUAUACAGAAGAGAGGUAGAAGAGAAUGGAAUAGUUUUAGAUCCUUUGAAAGCAACACAUGCUGUUAAAGGGGUAACAGGACAUGAAGUUUGCCACUACUUCUGGAAUGUCGAUGUUCGUAAUGACCGGGAAACAACAAUUGAAAACUUCCAUAUUGUGGAAAACUUAGCCGAUAAUUCAGUCAUCAUUUACCAGACACAUAAGAGAGUGUGGCCAGCUUCUCAAAGGGAUGUGCUAUAUUUGUCUGCCAUCAGAAAGAUAACAGCAUUCAGUGAAAAUGAUCCUGAAACGUGGAUUGUGUGUAAUUUCUCUGUGGAACAUGACAGUGCUCCCAUAAGUGUUAUUUUUAAUCUGUGAAGUUCUGAGUUUAAGAUAACAUUUUUAUAUUGUGGUGAUAGUCUUGCAAUAUUAAUGUGGGGGUAUGCAGAAAUAAAGUUUGUUUAAACUAGGUGAUACAGUGACCUGAUGGUGUUCUGAGCCAAAAGCUUUCUCAACAUAUCUCAAGAGCUGGCAGAUCCAAGGUGUUGCAGAAGAAUGAAAGUAACAUUUCUGGAGAUGUGAAAACCUUUUACAGAAUUGAGGUUAUUUCAUAUUGAAUCAAAUCAAUAACUCUUCAGUAUUGACAGAUAAGGGAAUAGAAUCAUUAAAUCAUUGUUGUGGUUUAACAUGUCUGGCAGCUAAGCAUCACAGAGCUGUUCGCUCACUCUCCCCCCUCCCUCUCUGGGAUGGGGGACAGAAUCAGGAAAAAAAUGAAAGCCUCAGUUCUGUCAAAUCAUUUUUGUAUGCUGCUUCUAUUCUUCUCCUCUUCUCCAUGUCCUGCAAAAUUACAUGGCCAUGUAAUGCAGCAAGAAUGAACUGGCUUAUAAUAGUAAAUAUGCCAGCCAAUAAAUGGAAUAACCAGUAUAGUUGUUUUUUUUUCCUAAACAAAGCUACAGAUUUUAUUUGCACGAAUGCGUGUUUGCAGCCGUUUCCUCACCCUCCCCCCCCCCGCAGUGG